rnacentral:rRNA from 1 species
GAUGAACGCUGGCGGCGUGCCUAAUACAUGCAAGUCGAGCGAACAGACGAGGAGCUUGCUCCUCUGACGUUAGCGGCGGACGGGUGAGUAACACGUGGAUAACCUACCUAUAAGACUGGGAUAACUUCGGAAAACCGGAGCUAAUACCGGAUAACAUGUUGAACCGCAUGGUUCAACAGUGAAAGACGGUCUUGCUGUCACUUAUAGAUGGAUCCGCGCCGCAUUAGCUAGUUGGUAAGGUAACGGCUUACCAAGGCAACGAUGCGUAGCCGACCUGAGAGGGUGAUCGGCCACACUGGAACUGAGACACGGUCCAGACUCCUACGGGAGGCAGCAGUAGGGAAUCUUCCGCAAUGGGCGAAAUCCUGACGGAGCAACGCCGCGUGAGUGAAGAAGGUCUUCGGAUCGUAAAACUCUGUUAUUAGGGAAGAACAAAUGUGUAAGUAACUAUGCACGUCUUGACGGUACCUAAUCAGAAAGCCACGGCUAACUACGUGC